AGUCACUGACAUUAGAUACCCCUGUAGUCCAGGGUGUAAACGCUGCAGACUUGGUGUUGGGAACCCUUCGGGGGUGCUCAGUGCCGGAGAGAAGUUGUUAAGCCUGCUGCUUGGGGAGUACGUCCGCAAGGAUGAAACUUAAAGGAAUUGGCGGGGGAGCACCGCAACGGGAGGAGCGUGCGGUUCAAUUGGAUUCAACGCCGGACAACUCACCAGGAGCGACGGUUACAUGAAGGCCAGGCUGAUGACCUUGCCUGAUUUUCCG
rnacentral:rRNA from 1 species